GCCUUCGGGAACUCUGACACAGGUGCUGCAUGGCUGUCGUCAGCUCGUGUCGUGAGAUGUUGGGUUAAGUCCCGUAACGAGCGCAACCCUUGUCCUUAGUUACCAGCACGUUAUGGUGGGCACUCUAAGGAGACUGCCGGUAAUAAACCGGAGGAAGGUGGGGAUGACGUCAAAUCAUCAUGCCCCUUAUGACCUGGGCUACACACGUGCUACAAUGGUUGGUACAACGAGUUGCGAGUCGGUGACGGCGAGCUAAUCUCUUAAAGCCAAUCUCAGUUCGGAUUGUAGGCUGCAACUCGCCUACAUGAAGUCGGAAUCGCUAGUAAUCGCGGAUCAGCACGCCGCGGUGAAUACGUUCCCGGGCCUU
rnacentral:rRNA from 1 species